AGAGAACUGCAUACCAUUAAAAUCUUUGCAGAAGAGAGCGUGAUCAUUCAGAAGCUGAAAGAGCUCAGCAUAUGAAACAAAUACAUGAUCUUCAAGAACAUAUUCAAGAAAAAGACAGGCAGCUUAUUGAGUUGCAGGAACAGCACAGAGUAGCUCAAGAGACCCUAAUGUAUAAAGAUGAACAAUUGAGAGAAGUCCCCGCUUGGAUAAACCGUGUUCGUGAUGGAUGUUUUCCAAUCAACAACAAACCAGUUAUUGCAGGCUGGAUUGCGAAAACGUACAGAGCAGUAUAACCAGCUCUGCAUGGGUUUCCAUAGACAGGUUUAUCAGCAAUCCCAUUGUUGCUUAAAAUAUUUUUGUUUUUGUGUU